GUUGUGUGAACGCCCAUUCCUCAGACAGAAAACAGGAGGCACAAGCAAAACUUUGGCUUGAGCAGAGCCCAGGACCCCGCACAAACAGCAGUCUUUUGCAGAGCCAUAAUUUUACGACUCAAACUCGCUGUCGCUGCUAACUGAAAUCUCCGGAGUGGAUGCCCCAUUACCCCUGUGGUCAGCUCCUGUGCUCGAGUCGCUGUUCUCUGGACUGCCCAGACGAUGGCGCUCUUGUACUGAGUUUUCAGGAGAACUUUCUGAUGGGAGCAGUGAGGAGUCCUGUUGUAGUCUGCACACAAGAGACAUGAGAAUUAGAUAAGCAGGUUCGGCUGUGAAUCUGAGAGAAAAAGAUGAACAAGACACACUGAAGACAAGGCAAAGUUAUGUUUUCCACUUAGUACCCACCUGACUGAUGCGAUUGAAGCCGUACUGUUUGAAGCCCUCAUCAUACAACGGCACAGUGCGGGGACCUAUGUAAAAGGGCUCCCAAGGGUCCACCCACGUCAGAGUAUAGGACACUUCCAG